CAGUCGCCGCGGUAAAACGAAGGGUGCAAGCGUUACUCGGAAUUACUGGGCGUAAAGCGUGCGUAGGUGGUGGUUUAAGUCCGUUGUGAAAGCCCUGGGCUCAACCUGGGAAUUGCAGUGGAUACUGGGUCACUAGAGUGUGGUAGGGGAUAGUGGAAUUUCCGGUGUAGCAGUGAAAUGCGUAGAGAUCGGAAGGAACAUCUGUGGCGAAGGCGACUAUCUGGGCCAACACUGACACUGAGGCACGAAAGCGUGGGGAGCAAACAGGAUUAGAUACCCCCGUAGUCCCUGUCUCUUAUAA
rnacentral:rRNA from 1 species